UAGAGGUCUAACAAUGACAUCCAGGUGAAAUUUUUUUGACCUAAUGUUGGAGAUGCUCUAAGGAAACUUUACACUACUUCGAUAUUUUCAUUAAACAACUUAGUGUAUCACCUUUAACUGUUUGUGGAAAAUAUUGCAGUGAUAUUAGAUAUGAAGAUUGAAUUAGUGCGAGUUUAUGGAGGAUCCAGCUGGGUUUAAUUUUAGGUCGGUAGUAGAGAUUGUAGAUGAAGAGGGAUUGGAGGAAUCUGUGUGGAUGUUGGGCAAAGAAGAAGAGGAGGAAUUGACAAAUUAUGAUGAAGACUUAAAAUCUGUGGUAUUAGGUAGCAAGAGGUUGAAAGAUAACGAAUUUCCCUUGAUGUGUUUUCAGGAAUUGUUAUCGUACUAGGAAAAUCUCCAAAGUUUUAAUGUUAACUAAGUUCAGAGAAAAUUUGAUUCUUAUGUUUAAAUGGAUGGCCUGGUGGAGGCAUUGCACAACAUGAUCCAUCGUGUUAGUUUUACAGACCCUGAGAUUGAUUUUGAUCAACCAAAAUUAUCCUCAGAUUUACUAUCUUUCUGGCAUUGUGUUUCUUCUCUAACAUUAAAGUUAUAGCUAUAUAUGAGAGAACUAAACAUUGGGAGCUUGCCUAUUUAUGCUCUCUUCAGGACUGCAGUUCAGAUGCUAGAGGCGGUAGUACUAACUUGAAUGACCAGGUAAUCAGUAUGGUUCAAUAACUUGGCAGUUGCAUAUAGGUUUAUAUUUACUCAUGCAGUUCUAUGCUGAAUUUCCGUAUCCAUGAACCAUAAACGGGAGACACCAGCAGAAAUUUUAUUGGUGCCGUGAAAAAUCAGCCAACUGAGGGUCUAGCAUCUCCAGUACAGUACUCACAAGACUGUGGUUUCAAGUCUAUUUGGUUUCUGCUGUGUAAUACGUCGCGUAAGUCCUAAAACUCUGAUAAUGGAUUUCAAGAUCAGCGGAAUUUGAACAAGUAUUUUGUCUUCUGUUUUGAAUCCUUUUUUCUUAUUUUUAUAAAUUGAAAGAUCUACAUUAAAUAAAUCUUCGAGGAUAGCAGUAAUGUCCUUUAAAGCUUACAUAGCAAAGCAAUAUAUGCAAGAACAUUUUAUUCGUCUAAAUUUAAAUGCUCAUGCAAUGUAAAGCCUGUUUUGUUGGUCUCAGUUGUAUAUUGUCAGUUUAAAAAGUCUGUUUUGCUUAAACGGUAUGUGAGAUGUGAAAAGCUGUGAAUAUAUGGCAUGAUUAGGUACCAAGGUGAUACAUGGUAGUUCAGGAAACCGUUAGGUUAAAUCUCAGGCGGCAGGUGCGUAGUGUGUGUUUGGAACAGAACAACAUGCUUCGCACAUUAUCUUAAAUAUACAUUGGCAACCCUAUCUUUGUUUC